rnacentral:lncRNA from 1 species
CAAAUAAUCAAGAAUUCCUCCUCACAAAGUAAUCAAAGUGUUUUUUUUUCUUCAGGCAGGUGUGAAAUUACCUUUUGUUUAGUGGAGAAAUAAAUUGGAACCAGAAAGAAUCUCUGUUUAAUAAGAGCUUUUUUGGAGAUAAUGAGAAUUUGAAGACUCUAGAAAGAAUAAACUAGAAGGAUGUCAAGACAAAAAAAAUAUCCUUUGUGAAAGGAAAGUAUUUGAUUUAAAGAAUCUGGAAACAUUUUUUUUACUUCUUGCAUUAGCAUAUCUUUCUAAAACAAAACGAAACAAAAAAAAGAAGUUUACUGAAGAAUUAAGUAAAUAGACAAGUUCUAAAUCAGCAAG